AGCCCCUCUUUGGGAGGCAGUAGGGCCAGAUGGGGGAAUAAUGCAGUUAAACAGGGUCCUUCCGAAUCCCCAUCUGAAUUCCUGGAUUCCUUGAGGGAUGUAAUGCACCGCAGCACACCGAUGGAUCCUGGGUCAGAGCCAGCCAAAAAUUAUUUGCAUUCGAAUGGGAGAACCCCAAAAGCGGUCGUAAGACUCAGGUCACUUGGAUGGUGUUGCCACAAGGAUUUAAGAACAGCCCUACCAUCUUUGGCAAUCAGCUCACAAAAGACCUGGAAUCUUGGGAAAUCUCCUCUGAAGAAGGGAAACUGUUACAAUACAUAGAUGACAUCCUGAUCGCCACCAGAACAGAAGACGAUUGUAUGACCUGGACGCUUCUUUCCUCAGUAGAAACACAGGAGAACCAGUACAUCAUGACUGCUUGGAGACCACUGAACAUAUGCAAACCGUCCAGAUUUGAGAGACAGCCCUAUGGAAAACAGGGAAAACUCGUUCACAGAUGGAAGCAACUAUGUCCUGAGCGGUAAGACACAUGCGGGGUAUGCUAUUACCACCAGCCAAGAAGUAAUAGAGUCAGAGCCUUUGCCCAUGAAUACCUCUGCACAGAAGGCAGAAAUAAUUGCUCUGACUCGUGCCUUGGAAUUGGCCCAAGGCAAAGCUGUGAACAUAUAUACAGACGCGAAAUACGCCUUCAGGGUUGUGCAUGCACAUGGAGCAAUUUGGAAGGAAAGGGGACUAUUAAACUCUCAAGGAAAAAAUAUCAAGCAUGCAGAAGAAAUCUUGAGGCUGUUGGAGGCAGUCCAACUUCCUGAGAAAGUGGCAAUCAUGCACAUUAAGGCACACCAGAACGUGAGCUCAGAAUUGGAAAAAGGAAAUGAGCUAGCGGAUAGAGAUGCAAAACAAAUAGCCAAAACAGAGGUAACAAUGGAAGGAGCUCUGGUCCCUGAUGGACAAAUUUCUCUAGAAGGUAAACCAAAAUAUACCAAGGAGGAUCAGAAGCUUAUCACAGAUUUGGAAGGGUCAUAUAACAAAGAAGGGUGGGCCCACAUCCCGCAGGGAAAAUUUAUCAUUCCCUCCUGUUUAAUAUGGCAUUUAGUAAGAGAGGAACAUAGUAAAAGGCAUUGGGGGACAGAAGCUCUAUAUAAAUAUUUAAUUAGAGAAACUGUGGCCAGAAAUUUAUACAGUACAGUAAGACAGGUGACUCAGCAGUGCGAUCUUUGCCUCCAGACUAAUCCUAAGAAUAACCCCAGGCCAGAAAUGGGCCAAAUUGGGAAAGGCAAUGGGCCUGGACAACAAUGGCAGACUGAUUUUACAGAACUCCCAAGAAAAGCGGGGGUAUCGAUAUUUACUGGUAUUAACUGAUACCUUUUCAGGUUGGCCAGAAGCGUUUCCGACCAGAACAGCCAAUGCUCAGGAGGUAACUAAAAUAUUAGUGCAAGAGAUAAUCCCAUGCUUUGGGAUUCCAGCUACCAUAUCCUCUGACAGAGGACCACAUUUUACCUCAAAAGUGGUACAACAAAUUAGCCACCAUUUGGGUAUAGAUUGGCAGCUUCUUACCCCAUGUUGCCCUCAAUCAAGUGGCCAAGUGGAAAAAAUGAACCACUUAAUCAAACAGCAAAUUGUGAAACUGGGACAAGAGGCAAAUUUGACCUGGCCUCAGUCUCUCCCUUUAGCCCUUUUGCGCAUACGAACAAGAUCAAGGGCGAAAGAAGGACUGAGCCCCUUUGAAAUCUUCUAUGGAAGACCCUAUGGGAUACAGGGAGGAAUAUCCAUACAAGCUGGGGAUGAAAUCAUAACUUCCUAUAUGGUGGCAUUGGGCAAACAGCUCAAUAAAAUCAGAAAGCAUGUAGUUGGGGCUCGAGGUAGGGGUUUAGAUGGACCUGUGCAUAAUAUCCAGCCUGGAGAUUAUGUGUAUAUAAAGUAUCUUGCAGAAAAAACUCUGGAACCACAGUGGAAAGGACCAUUCCAGGUACUUCUCACCUCCUUUACAGCAAUCAAGAUCAAAGAGCAGAGUGCCUGGAUACAUCACACUAGGGUGAAGAAAGCGCCACAAAAGGUUUGGACUUCUGAAGUCCAGGGACUCUUGAAGCUCAAACUGCAGAGGUAGAAUGCAGAUUAAGAUUUGCUUAAUCCUUAUAGAUCUACAGGCAAUUAGCGUAGCUACCUGGCAAGAAAAUUCGUAUGUACAAUUGACACAGAAUAUUACUCACAUUAUAAACAAGGUCGAUUGUUGGGUUUAUACUAAAAUGCCAAGGCACUCUGGUCAUGGAAUGGCCUUAUAGGGCAUUCCCAUUGCCACUAAAUAUCUCUUUGACAGAUUAUACUUUCUGGCAAAAUACCACUCUCAGGAAAGAUCCCCAAACCAAGCGGGGCCAGGGGUUGGGAAUGAAAACAAUAAGAGCCAAUACCUCAGGAGACCGCUGCCUGGUAAGCUCAAGAAAUGGCAUGUUUGCUGGAGAAUAUUCAAAUUGCAAUGAAUCCAUCUCAUUGAACAUGACAAAUAUUGACCCAGCAUUCCAGUCACUUAAUUAUACUGGCCUCCCAGUUCCUCUAGGGACAGGGUGGUAUUGGUUCUGUGGUACAGCAGCUUGGAAGACUUUGCCUCUGGGGUGGCGGGGAGCAUGUACUUCAGGAGCCGUGAUCCCCAACAUCACUAUUAUUGAUAAAACAACACAGAAUCCCUCAAGAAGAGGACAGAAAGCCACUUUAAUCAGAAACCAAAGAACAAAUAACCCCUUAAUAGAAAGGCCAACGGGCUACCAUAGCUUUGUGUGGUGGCUAAUUCCAUCCUUGGGGGAUAGCGAGUUGGAGAAGGCCAUAGUAAACAUCUUGGCUGUAAUAGAGAUAAUCAAGAAUAAAAUUGUAGAUGUCAUUAGGGCACUCCAAGAAGAAACUACUGGUUUAUCUAAAGUAGUAUUACAAAAUUGUAUGGCCCUAAACUUAUUAUUAGCCUUACAGGGAGGGGUAUGCACAGUAGUCAAUGCCAGCUGUUGCACGUAUGUAGACCAAAGUGAGUGAAUCGCUGCUGACAUACAGUGCAUCAGAGAACAAUCAAAAUUCCUACAUAGAGUAACUCAAGAUGACACGUCCUGGGGGUUUUUUGAGCUAUGGGAAAAACUAACUUCUUGGUUCCCAAAUUUAACAGGGCUAAAACAGUUACUUGUUACUGUAAUAUCAUUAUAGUCUUAUCCAUGGUCCUCUGCAUAGCAGUAGGAGGUGCCUUGUUGUGUUUCCGGGGUACAGGAGAUUCCUACAAUGAAUGGAAAAAGAACCAACUGCGAUGAAGACUGGAAUCUGGCAAAUACUUUGAGAAUGUUAGAUAAAGAAACAUUGUAUUAGAAUAUUAGAAUAAGAGCAUUAGAUAAAGAAACACUGUAUUAGAAUGGGGUGUAGUAAAAGAAUUUACUAACUCUGUAGAAAAGGGGGGACUGAAAGGGGGAAGGGGCUUUUAAGAUGCAAAAACAAAAGUUAACUGUUCUAUUGCUGAAUGCUUAUCCAGCUGAAAGUUAAUUGUUGCAGAACACUUAUCUAGCCGCUGUGUAAAAUAAUUAGCAAGGAGGCCUGGAAUCCACCUGCGAAGGACAAAUUCCUGAUAAGGAUAGAAAAUUGUCUCAAGAACCAGCUAAAACCAACUUUGCAGUUUGGACAAGUAUCAAGAGAUAACUGAGUCUGCACAAAACCAAAAGGUUACUAGCGGUGACGAAGAGGAGCCAGCAGCCUUCAUCUUUAUGACCCCUGAUGACCACCACGAGGAGGCAUUGGGCAAGCUCAGGUGGGAAAGAUUUAUGGGAACAACUUUUUUGGCUAAUUUUAAUACGAAGAGUGGAAAGGUCAUGCAUAUGUAUAGG